GCCCCGCGCUUCCUGGACGCUGUGUGGUCAGUGCGGCUGUCCAGGCUCGAGGAGGGGCCCAGAGGAAGGCGGUGAUGUAUGCGUGGGGGCUGCGCCUACCCGGCGGCCCCCACAGCCCGGUCACCGCGACAGGC